AACCAUAGAAACCUGCGGAGUACCUGCGGAAGGAUCAUUAAAAUAUAUUAUGGUUUUUUUUUAAAACCAUUUUCCUUGUGAUUUCCGUAAACGUUCACUUUGGCAGGUUUUGGGCUGACUAGCUCAACUUUCAGAUCUCAUUCACGAGGUUACGAAAGAGGCCUGCCAGAGGUUUUUUCAAAUCACUUGUUUAAAUUAUCGUCUGAAAAAUUCUCUCGUUCGAGAGAAAUAAAUACAAAU
rnacentral:misc_RNA from 1 species